rnacentral:rRNA from 1 species
AGUCGAGCGGUACAUUUCUAGCUUGCUAGAAAUGACGAGCGGCGGACGGGUGAGUAAUGCUUGGGAACAUACCUUUAGGUGGGGGACAACAGUUGGAAACGACUGCUAAUACCGCAUAAUGUCUACGGACCAAAGGGGGCUUCCGCUCUCGCCUUUAGAUUGGCCCAAGUGGGAUUAGCUAGUUGGUGAGGUAACGGCUCACCAAGGCGACGAUCCCUAACUGGUUUGAGAAGAUGAUCAGCCACACUGGAACUGAGACACGGUCCAGACUCCUACGGGAGGCAGCAGUGGGGAAUAUUGCACAAUGGGCGCAAGCCUGAUGCAGCCAUGCCGCGUGUGUGAAGAACGCCUUCGGGUUGUAAAGCACUUUCAGUAAGGAGGAAAGGUUGGUGGUUAAUACCCAUCAGCUGUGACGUUACUUACAGAAGAAGCACCGGCCAACUCCGUGCCAGCAGCCGCGGUAAUACGGAGGGUGCGAGCGUUAAUCGGAAUUACUGGGCGUAAAGCGUACGCAUGCGGUUGAUUAACCGAGAUGUGAAAGCCCCGGGCUCAACCUGAAAACUGCAUUUCGAACUGAUCAACUAAAGUGUGAUAAAGGGCGGUAGAAUUUCAGGUGUAUCGGUGAAAUGCGUAUAGAUCUGAAGGAAUACCGAUGGCGAAGGCAGCCACCUGAGUCAACACUGACGCUCAUGUACGAAAGCAUGAGGAGCAAACAGGAUUAGAUACCCUGGUAGUCCACGCCGUAAACGAUGUCUACUAUAAGCUGGGGUCCUCGGACAACUUUUUCAAAGCUAACGCAUUAAGUAGACCGCCUGGAGAGUACGGC